UAAGGAAUAUUGGUCAAUGGACGCAAGUCUGAACCAGCCAUGCCGCGUGAAGGAUGAAGGUCCUCUGGAUUGUAAACUUCUUUUUAUAGGGGGCGAAAAAAGGGUUUUCUAACUCACUUGACAGUACCCUAUGAAUAAGCACCGGCUAACUCCGUGCCAGCAGCCGCGGUAAUACGGAGGGUGCAAGCGUUAUCCGGAUUCACUGGGUUUAAAGGGUGCGUAGGCGGGUAGGUAAGUCAGAGGUGAAAUCCUGGAGCUUAACUCCAGAACUGCCUUUGAUACUAUCUAUCUUGAAUAUGGUGGAGGUAAGCGGAAUAUGUCAUGUAGCGGUGAAAUGCAUAGAUAUGACAUAGAACACCUAUUGCGAAGGCAGCUUACUACGCCUAUAUUGACGCUGAGGCACGAAAGCGUGGGGAUCAAACAGGAUUAGAUACCCGUGUAGUCCCUGAGCGGGCUGGCAAGGCGCAU
rnacentral:rRNA from 1 species